GAACCGCAUGGUUCAAGGAUGAAAGACGGUUUCGGCUGUCACUUACAGAUGGACCCGCGGCGCAUUAGCUAGUUGGUGAGGUAACGGCUCACCAAGGCGACGAUGCGUAGCCGACCUGAGAGGGUGAUCGGCCACACUGGGACUGAGACACGGCCCAGACUCCUACGGGAGGCAGCAGUAGGGAAUCUUCCGCAAUGGACGAAAGUCUGACGGAGCAACGCCGCGUGAGUGAUGAAGGUUUUCGGAUCGUAAAGCUCUGUUGUUAGGGAAGAACAAGUGCAAGAGUAACUGCUUGCACCUUGACGGUACCUAACCAGAAAGCCACGGCUAACUACGUGCCAGCAGCCGCGGUAAUACGUAGGUGGCAAGCGUUGUCCGGAAUUAUUGGGCGUAAAGGGCUCGCAGGCGGUUUCUUAAGUCUGAUGUGAAAGCCCCCGGCUCAACCGGGGAGGGUCAUUGGAAACUGGGAAACUUGAGUGCAGAAGAGGAGAGUGGAAUUCCACGUGUAGCGGUGAAAUGCGUAGAGAUGUGGAGGAACACCAGUGGCGAAGGCGACUCUCUGGUCUGUAACUGACGCUGAGGAGCGAAAGCGUG
rnacentral:rRNA from 1 species